AACGAACGCUGGCGGCAGGCCUAACACAUGCAAGUCGAACGCCGUAGCAAUACGGAGUGGCAGACGGGUGAGUAACACGUGGGAACGUACCCUUCGGUUCGGGAUAACUCAGGGAAACUUGAGCUAAUACCGGAUACGUCCGAGAGGAGAAAGAUUUAUUGCCGAGGGAUCGGCCCGCGUCUGAUUAGCUUGUUGGUGAGGUAACGGCUCACCAAGGCGACGAUCAGUAGCUGGUCGAGAGGAUGAUCAGCCACAUUGGGACUGAGACACGGCCCAAACUCCUACGGGAGGCAGCAGUGGGGAAUAUUGGACAAUGGGCGCAAGCCUGAUCCAGCCAUGCCGCGUGAGUGAUGAA
rnacentral:rRNA from 1 species